rnacentral:rRNA from 1 species
AUUGAACGCUGGCGGCAUGCCUUACACAUGCAAGUCGAACGGUAACGGGCCUUCGGGUGCCGACGAGUGGCGCACGGGUGCGUAAUACAUCGGAACGUGCCCGAUCGUGGCGGAUAACGAGGCGAAAGCUUUGCUAAUACCGCAUACGAUCUACGGAUGAAAGUAGGGGACCGCAAGGCCUUGCGCGGACGGAGCGGCCGAUGGCAGAUUAGGUAGUUGGUGGGAUAAACGCUUACCAAGCCGACGAUCUGUAGCUGGUCUGAGAGGAUGAUCAGCCACACUGGGACUGAGACACGGCCCAGACUCCUACGGGAGGCAGCAGUGGGGAAUUUUGGACAAUGGGCGCAAGCCUGAUCCAGCCAUGCCGCGUGCAGGAUGAAGGCCUUCGGGUUGUAAACUGCUUUUGUACGGAACGAAAAGCCUUCUUUUAAUACAGGAGGGUCAUGACGGUACCGUAAGAAUAAGCACCGGCUAACUACGUG